AUUGAACGCUGGCGGCAUGCCUUACACAUGCAAGUCGAACGGCAGCGCGGGAGCAAUCCUGGCGGCGAGUGGCGAACGGGUGAGUAAUAUAUCGGAACGUGCCCAGUAGUGGGGGAUAGCCCGGCGAAAGCCGGAUUAAUACCGCAUGAGACCUGAGGGUGAAAGCGGGGGAUCGCAAGACCUCGCGCUAUUGGAGCGGCCGAUAUCAGAUUAGCUAGUUGGUGGGGUAAAGGCCUACCAAGGCAGCGAUCUGUAGUUGGUCUGAGAGGACGACCAGCCACACUGGGACUGAGACACGGCCCAGACUCCUACGGGAGGCAGCAGUGGGGAAUUUUGGACAAUGGGCGCAAGCCUGAUCCAGCAAUGCCGCGUGCAGGAAGAAGG
rnacentral:rRNA from 1 species